AUCAGGAACGAGACGACCAGCAUGAUGACGGCAAUCGCCGUCGCAUCCGCGUAACGAAACUCCGACAGCCGGAUCACGAUCAGCAGCGGCGCGAUUUCCGAGACGUUCGGCAGGUUGCCGGCGAUGAAGAUGACAGAGCCGUACUCGCCGACGGCCCGCGCGAACGCCAGCGCAAAGCCGGUGAGGAUCGCCGGCGUCAGGCUUGGCAGGAUCACGCGCCGGAUAAUGU
rnacentral:misc_RNA from 1 species